CAGCAGCCGCGGUAAUACGAAGGGGGCUAGCGUUGCUCGGAAUGACUGGGCGUAAAGGGCGCGUAGGCGGCGAUCAAAGUCAGGCGUGAAAUUCCUGGGCUCAACCUGGGGGCUGCGCUUGAUACUUGGUUGCUUGAGUGGGGAAGAGGGUCGUGGAAUUCCCAGUGUAGAGGUGAAAUUCGUAGAUAUUGGGAAGAACACCGGUGGCGAAGGCGGCGACCUGGUCCUUGACUGACGCUGAGGCGCGAAAGCGUGGGGAGCAAACAGGAUUAGAGACCCCGGUAGUCCCUGUCUCUUAUAC
rnacentral:rRNA from 1 species